GAUUAACGCUGGCGGCGUGCAUAACACAUGCAAGUCGAACGAUGAAACUUAGUAGACUUCUUCGGAAGAAAAUAAGCGGGAUAGUGGGGGACGGGGGGAUAACGGGUUAGGAAACCGGCCUAAACAAGGGGAUAGGCCUUGGAAACGGAGAAAAAAUACCCAAAAAAACAAAAAAAGAAAAUCUUAGAAUGGCAAAGUGAUAGCGGUGUAAGAUGGACUUGCGUCUGAUUAGCUAGUUGGUGAGAUAAAAGCUCACCAAGGCAACGAUCAGUAGCCGGCUUGAGAGAGUGUACGGCCACAUUGGGACUGAGACACGGCCCAGACUCCUACGGGAGGCAGCAGUGGGGAAUUUUGCACAAUGGGGGAAACCCUGAUGCAGCGACGCCGCGUGAUUUAGAAGGCCUUCGGGUUGUAAAAAUCUUUUGUAUAGGAAGAAAAUGACAGUACUAUACGAAUAAGGUCCGGCUAAUUACGUG
rnacentral:rRNA from 1 species